UUCUCUUCAUAUGGCCGGCCAAAGCAAGAACAAAGGAAGAAAAGGAAGAACAAAACCCUAGGUGGAAAAAUUCAAAGGAAAAGUGUGAAAAUUCAAGGAAACAAGUGAAAAAAAGGUAAGAUUUUUUAAUUAAGCUUGUGAUCUAUCUUUCUUAAGCACUUUUUCUUAUUUUCCAUGGUUGAAUCACAAGAUAUCAUGAAGGAUAGUGUGCUGAUCAAACCCUAGGAGAGAGAACUUGAUGAUGAUUUAGAUAGAUUUUUAAGAUAUAUGGAUGUUUUUAGUUGUUUAUGGUGUUAAGUGUAAGAAUUAAGCUUGAAAUUCACAUAUUCUUCAUGAGUUCAUCAUUGGCCGAAUUCUCCAUGUAGAAUAUUGAUGAUGAUUUUUAUUUUAUUUCAAGUGAUUUGGUUAGGAAUUAGUGAUUUAUGGUGUGAGAAUCAAGCUUGAAAAUUUAUAAUGUUGAUGCACCCACCAUGGCCGAAUUUUCCAAGAGAAAUGUGAGGAUGAUUUUGCCAUAUUUCAAGUUAUUUAAUUUGUGUUUGAUGAUUUGGAGUAUUGGGAGAAAAAUGGAAUUAUUUGGAGUUAAAUUGGCCAUAUUGGCCAAUUAAUCGAGUGAUAGAUCGAAUUAGGCCAACACCAUUUUAUUUAGGUACACAAUUAAAUUUGUGUAGAACACCAUGUUUAGACGAUAAUCUGAACAAUUUGCAUUCCAUUUCAUGCAUUAGUAUAGAGCCUGAAUUGGUUUUAUAACAAUUUAGCACAAAUGUAGUAAAUGGCUUAUUGUGCAUUAUGUCUAGGUGGUGAGCAUUCUGACAAAAGUAAAGAGAUAGUACCCGAGGAUCAAGAAUCUGAGUACUCGAAAUUCAACUCCCGAAAUAGUGAGUAACCUUACUAUCUUCUUAAUUGUCUAAAGUGGUUUUUAUCCGAUUUUGUGAUUUUAUGGAAAAUGAGUUUAAAUGGUACAUCUUUAUGUUUUAUAAGUAAAAUGUGAUUAAAUGAAAUGAUUUUAUAAAUUGUCUUGAAAUUGAAAGAUGAUUUUGAAAAUGGAGUAAUUGGAGACUAAUUGUUGUGUUAUAAAUCAUGGUUUGAAUUGAAUGGCUUAUGAUCAUAUUUGCAUGAAUGGCUGAAUUGGUAUGUGUUGAAAAUGUAUGAACUGUUAAUUUGCCUUGAGAGGCUGUAAAAUAAAAUAAUUGUCAUGUCAUGUUAUCGCAAAUUUUAUUGUAUGGUGGGUUAUAAAUUGGCCGCUACAGUGAACGGGUUCCGUGGACCAGCCUAUUAGAGGGGCACAGUAACCCUAUUAUAUUCAUACCUCAGUAUGAGAGGCGCGGUUGGAUAACUCCUAAGGUUAAAACUUUAGAGUUCACUUCACGCCAAACCACCACGUGAGGGUGAACUCAGCCAACGCCAAGGAACGGCUAUGUUUUCAAAAUAAAAACAUGAUUUAUGCGUACAUAACUUUUUAGCAGGCUUGGCAGACUCGGUUGGGAUAGCCCUCAGCCAAGGUAUCCCUGAUAAUUAAGUAUGAGAAUGAUUUUGGCACAAGCCAAAGUUUUAAGAAAUUCAUAAGCCAUGUUGAUUACUCGAUUUAUAUGAAUUGAUUUUAUUUGGUUGAAAUGAGUUGAAAGGUAUUGCAUUACAGUAUGUUAAACUAUUUUAUCUGUCUCCAUUUACUCAGCUUUAGAUAUUUUAGAUGGUAUUUGUUUACUCACUGAGAUUAUAUAAUCUCACCACCCUCAUUUCCACCCUUUUCAAGCUUAGGAUAGUCGGUGGAUAGCUCAUUUCGUUGAGGGUUACAGUUGGACUUGCAUCUUCAAAAACUAUAGGUUUACCGCUUUUGAUACUUUUGGUUGUUGGUGGGCCCACUUGUCACUGUAAAUUAAAUCUUAUGCUUUGGUUAUCUGUAUUACAGUAUGUAUGAAUUUAUUUAGCUUUUACGCUACAAAAAUUAUUUACUAGUAACUCUAUA
rnacentral:lncRNA from 1 species